UUUUUCUUUUUAGCUAACUGUGUUUUGUUCUUUUUUUCCUGCCUUGUUUCAGGACAUAUAAGUUUGCAGAAUGAAGAGAGUGAUGUCUUCUGCUGCUAAGAGCCAGCUGCUGAUUCUUGGGGCCAAUCUCCUUGGCAACUGCCCACUGCCUUGACCCAGUCACCUACAGGCAGCAAUUCACGCUGCAUUUGGUGAUAGGCUGAGCAUGAUCACUGACAACUGAAGAGUCCUUCCACCUAACAGAGACAGCUAACACAGGUCCAAUGUGGGUAGCAGGGACAGGUGGGAAUUGAUUCUCAACUCCCACAGAAAGGAAUGUAUCCAGUGCUCUGCAGGACUUAACAAUGUGAAAAUAUUGAAAGCAGCAUGAGGCCACCUUGCCACCUGGGAAUGGAGAGAUGUUAUUAUCAGCAGGUGAGAGGGAUGAAGCGUUUUGGAUCUACCAGGAC
rnacentral:lncRNA from 1 species